UGCUUACAAAUGUGCUACUUGUAAGAACUCUGAACCCUGUGUUAGAUCUGUGUAAUGUGCCAUGUGUACUGGACUUAAUGUCUCCAGCUCGUAUUUUUCAGGGACUGUGUAGAUUCACAUUUAAUUAAACUGAUGCUGGUUGAUUGCUCUGCCCUCCAUCUGCCACCCUGCCACAGGUUCUGGAUGCCAUUAUUCAUGCCUGGUGUCCUUUUUCUGAAAUGCACAGAUCCUGAGAGAUAAACAGCUCUGCCAUCCGGCUUACACAGAUUUGUUGGAGUAGGAAGUUUGUACCUUCUUUGAUCUUCUGAAUGGCACCAGUUCUGUGUUCAUGCUGAUUUAUUAGUUUUGAAGUAAUCUAGUAGUGUUAUAUAUCAGUGUAGAGCUCUGACUAAAGGCUGUGACACAUUCAGAAAAGACAGGAUAGAAAUACUCAUCAGACUAGCCUUGCAACUUCCUGUUCCCACACUCAAAAAAAUGAAUCAGGUAGGUUGUGCACUGUAUAUUAAUUUUAUGUUUUCAGUUUAAUUAAAAUACAUGCCUUUGUUAAAUUAAAAUAUUUUUUCUAAUAAAGUCUAUGUAAUUGUGUCUUUCGUUGUGUGUACAAAAUAAUCAUGCAUUGGUUAAUCACAAAUCAUUUUUUUAAGUGAAUUAUGAUUGAAAUACUUCUUACAUCCAGAAGGUGGCAGUAAGAAGAUUAAAAUGAUUCAGACUGCACAUGCGCAAACUCACUUUUUUCAUCUUUUUGGCGGUUAACUUGUCGACGGUUUGAGAGAGGCCUUAGGUUGACUACUGAGUCUCGUAGCUGUCGCCUGAAGAAAUUUUUCAAACGUGCCUGCCGCCAAGAGACACUACUGUCCCCUUGUCUCCAUGUUCCAUGCACAGCUUUUGACCAACACACUAACCAAGUCAUCAAAGUGUUGAAGAAGAAAGGAAGUUCUGCAGGGAAUAAAAUCAGCCGGAUUUUGGUCCCAAUCACACAGAAUGAAACCAUUGAAAAGAGGAGGGAGUGCAUCUUCAGGGCACUUUGUAUCUAUCUGAAGGAAGACCUGAACAUCCUCUUCAAAGAAUACCUGGUGGCUGCAUCCCAGGUCAAGGAGAACCUGAGGGUCAGAGCUUGUGGCUGAACCUCCAAGAUGACCCUUCCAACAAGCUUUCAGGGAGCACAGCAGAUCACAGACCGCCUUCAAAGCCACGCUGAGGGCUGGCUGAAGGCUUCAUGGAUAUUCAUGAAGCGCGGGAGCAGGCCUGCUAUCUAUGUGCACUUUGGGUAAACAGACACUCACAAUGCCCACUUACCCCCUGCCCUGAAUGCCAACUUGCGGCUGAAUAGGGCACGUUUUGGCCUUUCUGUAACAGACUUUAAAUGGCAAU